UAAGAAGAAAUCCUUCUGAAUGGUAACAUAAACCCGUACGCUUGAACUUGUGAUGAAAAUGUUCAAAACCACAAGUCGAGUGCUGCGGGUCUUGUGUCGCCAAGUUGACCAACACCAUUCAAA
rnacentral:precursor_RNA from 10 species